rnacentral:hammerhead_ribozyme from 1 species
AUCCAGUUGACGAGUCCCAAAUAGAAUGAAGCAGGCGUCUUGGAU